CUACGGGUCGCAGCAGUGGGGAAUAUUGGACAAUGGGGGAAACCCUGAUCCAGCAAUGCCGCGUGUGUGAAGAAGGCCUGCGGGUUGUAAAGCACUUUCGGUUGGGAGGACUGCUUCUAGCACUAAUAUUGUUGGAAGUUGACGUUACCUUCAGAAGAAGCACCGGCUAACUCCGUGCCAGCAGCCGCGGUAAUACGGAGGGUGCAAGCGUGAAUCGGAAUUACUGGGCGUAAAGCGCGCGUAGGCGGCUAGAUCAGUCGGGUGUGAAAGCCCCGGGCUUAACCUGGGAACUGCAUCCGAUACUGUCUAGCUUGAGUACAGGAGAGGAGAGUGGAAUUCCACAUGUAGCGGUGAAAUGCGUAGAUAUGUGGAGGAACACCAAUGGCGAAGGCAGCUCUCUGGCCUGAUACUGACGCUGAGGUGCGAAAGCGUGGGGAGCAAACAGGAUUAGAACCCCGGUAGUC
rnacentral:rRNA from 1 species